rnacentral:tRNA from 1 species
GGGCCUAUAGCAUAGUCUGGAUAGUGCGGUCGGCUUCGGACCGAUUGACUCCGGUUCGAAUCCGGAUAGGCUCA